GUUCGGACAGAACUGAGAUCUUAAUUUGUUGUGGUAUGAGGGAGAGAACAGAUCACCCGAAGUGUCUGAGUUGAGGAAUGCACCAACGUGAGAAGCUGCACGAAGGCACUGCUAUGACACUCUCGUCAUUGAAGAUACGACACCUGCCUGUCUGGAUGCCAACUUUAUUUAUAUAUCUUGGCAGGCUCUACAAGAGAUUGUGUGGCUAUCCCAUCAGCAUCACUGGCCAGACAAAACAGGUCACAGCUCUCUUUCCAGGUUAUGUCAUGUUUAGGUCACUGUGGCGAGUCCUUGUUCUACUCCCCCCC